rnacentral:rRNA from 1 species
CAUAAAAAUUUUAAUUAGAAUUUUAUUUUUUAGUCAAAAAGCUAAAAUAAUUUUAAAAGACGAGAAGACCCUAUGAAUCUUUAUAUUUAGUUUAUUAUAAUUUUAUAGAUUAUUUUUGUUAUAAUAAAUUAUAAUAUUUUAUUGGGGUGAUAUUAAAAUUUAAUAAACUUUUAAUUUAUAUAAUCAUUAAUUUAUGAAUAAUUGAUCCGUUAUUAACGAUUAAAAAAUUAAGUUACCUUAGGGAUAACAG